GGCACCAGGAGGAAAUUGGGGUGUGUGUGUGUGUGUGUGUGUGUGUGUUUGUGUGGAGUCCUUCUUGUGCCACGCCUUCACCCCUACUC
rnacentral:miRNA from 1 species